rnacentral:rRNA from 1 species
GGAUGAACGCUGGCGGCGUGCUUAACACAUGCAAGUCGAACGAACCUUCGGGUUAGUGGCGGACGGGUGAGUAACGCGUGAGAAUCUGCCCUCAGGAGGGGGAUAACGGCUGGAAACGGCCGCUAAUACCCCAUAUGCCGAGAGGUGAAAUGAAUUUCGCCUGAGGAUGAGCUCGCGUCUGAUUAGCUAGUUGGUGGGGUAAGAGCCUACCAAGGCUUCGAUCAGUAGCUGGUCUGAGAGGAUGAUCAGCCACACUGGGACUGAGACACGGCCCAGACUCCUACGGGAGGCAGCAGUGGGGAAUUUUCCGCAAUGGGCGAAAGCCUGACGGAGCAACGCCGCGUGAGGGAUGAAGGCCUCUGGGCUGUAAACCUCUUUUCUCAAGGAAGAAGAUCUGACGGUACUUGAGGAAUAAGCCACGGCUAAUUCCGUGCCAGCAGCCGCGGUAAUACGGGAGUGGCAAGCGUUAUCCGGAAUUAUUGGGCGUAAAGCGUCCGCAGGCGGCCUCGUAAGUCUGUCGUUAAAGCGUGGAGCUUAACUCCAUUUCAGCGAUGGAAACUGUGAGGCUAGAGUGUGGUAGGGGCAGAGGGAAUUCCCGGUGUAGCGGUGAAAUGCGUAGAUAUCGGGAAGAACACCAGUGGCGAAGGCGCUCUGCUGGGCCAUAACUGACGCUCAUGGACGAAAGCCAGGGGAGCGAAAGGGAUUAGAUACCCCUGUAGUCCUGGCCGUAAACGAUGAACACUAGGUGUCGGGGGAAUCGACCCCCUCGGUGUCGUAGCCAACGCGUUAAGUGUUCCGCCUGGGGAGUACGCACGCAAGUGUGAAACUCAAAGGAAUUGACGGGGGCCCGCACAAGCGGUGGAGUAUGUGGUUUAAUUCGAUGCAACGCGAAGAACCUUACCAGGGUUUGACAUCCUGCGAAUCCCUUGGAAACGAGGGAGUGCCUUCGGGAGCGCAGAGACAGGUGGUGCAUGGCUCGUCAGCUCGUGUCGUGAGAUGUUGGGUUAAGUCCCGCAACGAGCGCAACCCACGUCUUUAGUUGCCAGCAUUCAGUUGGGCACUCUAGAGAGACCGCCGGUGAUAAACCGGAGGAAGGUGUGGAUGACGUCAAGUCAUCAUGCCCCUUACAUCCUGGGCUACACACGUACUACAAUGCUACGGACAAAGGGCAGCAAACUCGCGAGAGCUAGCAAAUCCCAUAAACCGUGGCUCAGUUCAGAUCGUAGGCUGCAACUCGCCUACGUGAAGGAGGAAUCGCUAGUAAUCGCAGGUCAGCAUACUGCGGUGAAUACGUUCCC